GUAUCACCAUUUAAAAAAUUAGCAUAAUAGAAAGGAAGCAAAUUCUACCCCAAUAACAUCAUUAUUCAUGCUGCCUUCAAUAAUGAUGAUUGUAAGGUCUACAGCGAUGUUACUAGAACCGUACUCCACAGACUGCUGCUACGGCAUCCCGCAACUACGAUCGUCCCUCUGCGGAGAGAUCAGCCAGCUAGCCACAUGUCCCAGACUGAGCUCAGGCCAGUGGCAGGCUACUACUGAAGGGAUCUGAAGGAUGCAGUACACCCAAGGUAACUUCGGAAACAACAAAACAGAAAUUCCCACAGCCACCCCGACCUUCAGCAACCACCACCCUGAUCCGUCAGCAGCCAGCAACAUCAGUGUAAGACCCUCCACC